rnacentral:lncRNA from 1 species
UACCAAUAAUGCCAAGCACUUGGUAGUUGGUACAACUAAGCUUUUCGCCGUUAGACCUACUUUUCUAAUUAUUCUCACUCGUUAAAUUAUACUAUUCAAUUAAUCACCCACUCCUCCUUAGAAAACACUAUUAUCUUAACUGUAUAUUUCUUAAUCAAAAGAUCGAAAAUCUAAUAGCACAAAUAAUAUGAUGUUAUUAAUAGUAUAGCAGCCUAGUUCUUAAGCCUAAUAGGUACUGAAAAACU